rnacentral:rRNA from 1 species
GGCUCGUUGGUCGAUGAAGGUCGAGGAAACUGCGAGUCUUUAUGUGAAUUGCAGGACAGAUGAACAUCCGACACUUUGAACACACAUUGAUUAUGAUUGAUUAUGGCUCCGAGGUUCUAUCCAAGGGCCACGCCUACCUAAAGGUCG